rnacentral:lncRNA from 1 species
GGUGAAACCAAAAUGUUUUGAUGCUGGGGGCUUUGAUCCUUCCUGCUCUUUUAGGAUCACUUGUAUCUGAAGCCCUCAAUUGAGUUCUGAGAAACUUCUGGGAGGAAGGACCGUCUUAAAGAGUUUUCAUUCCUUUUUUGUUUCUGCAGUUUUUUUUUUCCCACAGAAGGGCGUAUUCAGAUUCCUAAAGAAGGCUUUGAAAGGGAUCCAGAGAGGCAAUCACAUGCAUGUGCAGCUAUUUUUUUCAUCCGGCAAGAAUAUAUGGAAUGUGAAUGGAGUUUCAGCAUAGCUCUGUGAGUUUGUGAUGCCUCCAGAAAUGAAGACUCCUGAGGGAGAAUUUCACUGAGGAACAUCAUGAAGGGAGUAAGUGUCUAAUGGACAUGCCAUCCAGAUGUGCAGAGAUGGGAGCAAGAAAACCAAGG